rnacentral:lncRNA from 1 species
UGAUGCUUUGUCAUGGUUCGGUUAUGGCAGUUAUAGAGAGAGUAAUUUUCUCCUUCUACACUAACUGCAUCUCUUGUGAAGCUGACUAAGGGGAUAGAAACUUUAUUGAGCCGAUCCGUAGGUAAACAUUUUUGAGAGAAGGUGGAGUAAAAUAAAAAAUCUGUAGAGCUUUCAUUAUCUACAAGUACUUUUUUUACAUCAUAAUUCACUAUCAUCAUAGAUAUGACAACAGCAUCAUCAUUAGGAGUUUGCACUCCUCAAGCAUCAUCAUCCGAAAAGAAAAUUACAUUAUCUUGUUGUUACUUCUUGGAUGAUUCCUCUUCGAAACUUGUCCCCCAGUCUGUUGGUCGUCUUGAGAUCAUGUUGAUGACUUCCAUCGUUGGUUGAUUAUUGUUAACCUCCUCGAGUUGAAGCUGAGGUUG